rnacentral:rRNA from 1 species
AAACUUUCAACAACGGAUCUCUUGGUUCUGGCAUCGAUGAAGAACGCAGCGAAAUGCGAUAAGUAAUGUGAAUUGCAGAAUUCAGUGAACCAUCGAAUCUUUGAACGCACCUUGCGCCCUCCGGUAUCCGGUGGGCAUGCCUGUUCGAGCGUCAUU